rnacentral:rRNA from 1 species
CGUGCAGGCGGUUCGGUAAGUUGGAUGUGGAAUCUCCUGGCUCAACUGGGAGAGGACGUUCAAGACUGUCGGACUAGAGGACGGUAGAGGAAGGUAGAAUUCCCGGUGUAGUGGUGAAAUGCGUAGAUAUCGGGAGGAAUACCAGUGGCGAAGGCGGCCUUCUGGGCCGUUCCUGACGCUCAGACGCGAAAGCUAGGGGAAGGCAAACG